GCAAGCGUUGUCCGGAAUCAUUGGGCGUAAAGCGCGUGUAGGCGGCUCGGUAAGUCUGCUGUGAAAGUCCAGGGCUCAACCCUGGGAUGCCGGUGGAUACUGUCGAGCUCGAGUCCGGAAGAGGCGAGUGGAGUUCCUGGUGUAGCGGUGAAAUGCGCAGAUAUCAGGAAGAACACCCGUGGCGAAAGCGGCUCUCUGGAACGGUACUGACGCUGAGACGCGAAAGCGUGGGGAGCGAACAGG
rnacentral:rRNA from 1 species